CUCCAGAAGGUAAAGAAUUGAAAAGAAAUUGCUCUGGGAUACAGUGGUUGGAGACAUUUUUGCCUCUUUUGUAGUAUGAUGGGAUUCAGAGAAGAGAAUUAAAUUGCUUAGGCUCACAGAGCUAAUAAGUGGUAAAGUUAAGAUUUGAAUCCAUGUCUUAAACGAGUCUAAAGCCUCAACUAUGUUAUAUACUGCCUGGGGAGAAAACUCUGGAGUUAUUAUGAAGGAAGACCCCACUUACCUGUUCCUUCCAUCAACCUCCAGGUGUUGCCUGUUUUACAAAUGGAAGGCAAGAUCCUUCACCAGCAGAAAGAUUAUGACUUGCCUGAUUGUGAUACUCACUUUAUUAUGGUGGUCUGAAACCAAAACCACAGCAUCUCUGAGGUAUGCCCUUACUCGA